UCCAUUUUAAGGUAAUCUCAAUUGUCUCCUCUUUUUUUCUCUUUUCUCUCAUUUUUUGGCUAGAGAAUCCUUUCAAAUUUCAACUAAUCUAUAUCUUUUCUCGCCUGAAAUUGCAUUUUGAUCCCUUUAAUUGUGACAUGUAAGAUAAAAGAUAAGUGGAUCAAAAUUUUCCCCACCAAUGUUUAAGGCUAGAGUAAAUACAGGAUCGGAGGAAUAAGCUGCUUGCAAGUGGAACCACUUUAUAUGUGGGAGAUAUGGCUGAUUUGGUUUGGAUGUGGCAAUUCUGUGCGAAACUAUGAAGGAACUUCAAAGGCAUAUUAUUAAACUAUAGAGGGAGUUGGGUGCCAUUAAAGCAAGGAUGGUGAAUGAGAUUCGAAGGCUGAGGAAGGCCCAGCUACUGCCCGUUGAUGAUUAGCCAGUUGACAACAAC